UGAGGCCAAUGGCGGCUCCACCAUCCUGUGGCUAUGAUUCCUGAACUUGUGGUCUCCUCAGUUGAUGAGGUGAAGAAAGAAAGCCUGGAGAAUUAUGCACGAGCUUCUCACUGUCUCAGCCCACAAGUAACACACCUCUUUCCCUCACAGCCCACACUGGCUGGAACCAAUCACAUAGCCCUGCCUAACUGCAAGGGAGGCCAGAAAGUGCAACACUUUCUCAUGGUCACGCCAGGGCAUGACAGAGUCGUGGGAAUCGCUGGAACGUUUCUAGAGAAGCUCUGCGUCAGAUGAAGAAGAGACAGGAGGCCCUCCAAGCAAAGGAACCACUCAUGUCAAGACAUGGGGCAAAAAGAGAGGAUGUAUUUGGAGAACAGAGAGUAACCGAAGGCUAUCAUUCAAUCAGUGAUAGUCUUCAUGGAGGCUGAGACUUCAACCACAGGACCUGGGUGGUGAUCACCACAAAAUUUCUUCCUGAACGUUCUUCUCCAACAACUUCUCACAUUCAGUUAUUCAUUCAACAAACAUUGAGCAACAACCUAAUCUUCUGGGCUCUGGAGACCGAGUUAAAAAGGAGACAGCAGGCCCCUGCCCCCGCUUCCCGACAGGUCACCACAUCUUGAGUGCUAAGACUGUCAUCACAGGGUGAGGAGGGGAAAUGAGCUCAGAGGGGCAGAACCUUCUGAAAGGGCAGAAUGGUUCAAGCAUCCCGCCAAGGUCAGAAGGCGCUGGAUCCAGGGCAAAAAUGAAGACAUAAGGGACCUUAGGUGACAAGGAAGAAGCUCCCAGGCAGCAUGUGGGAUGGACCCAAGGAGAACGUCAGAGAGAAAGAGUUCAGUCUGGUGUCUCCUGAAGCAGGUGGCAGCAUGCUGACGAAGGAGGGUGGGGUACGCAAGGAACUGGUUGCCUCUAGGACUCGCGACAAGACCUUACGGAGAAAGAAGUCAGCCAAGGAAAAACGACUGGAGUGUGGAAGAGUCUGGAAGAGCUGGACCAGGUCCACAUGGUCCGGUCAGUUCUCGAAAAAUCGAGACCCUGUGUGGUGAGGGUGAGCCAUCUUAGCAGGAAGAAAAGUUUGUCAAACCAAGUGAAUCCUCUUGCCGAACCACAUGGAGAACAUAUUUUGGAGAGAGAUUACUGUGUGAUUAAGGGAAUUUUGACACCAUAAUCAUCUAGGGUGGGGGUAUAUUUUAUUUGCCUAUGGCCAGACAUUUAGGAAGGCAAACUGGAGCAAGAGGAAAAGCAGGAAAAAAUAGACUGAUAACCAAAAUGUAAAAUAUUUCUGUGUUGAUCAUCAGGGAAGUGAAUAACACAGGCCACAAAGACCCCUUUUUUUCCCACAGAACUUUUCAACAGAUGGUUAUACUAGUUGUUUCAGAAUUAAUACCAAGGAUUGAGGGUUGGAGGCAUGCAACUUAGAAGCAGUGCUGGUGUGAAAGUGAUAAGGUUUUUGGCUCCAAGUAACACCUCCCAAUUUGUACAGCAACCACAAUAGAAAUGUGCUUCAGGUUAAAAUUAAGCUCGGCAGGCUCGACGUAAAUGUGCAGACAAAGCAAAGCAGGAAGCCUCCCACACUAAAAAGGGAAGAUAAGAAUCACAGAAGCUGGGAUGGUUUUUAUUGAAGGGCAUUUCAAAGCAAAUACAGACAUCUACAGCAUAUUUGUAAAUCCUCCGUAUGUGUAUGGAAACACACACCUUCACACAUCAAAACUGGAUUUGUUCCUGAGUAACAAAACGUCCUAAGAACAAAAUGAAAGAAAACCAAAUAGCAGAAAAAUACUUCCAAUGUAUAUACCACAAAGGAUUAUUUAUCAACUCAACACACCAAGAGUUAAGAAAAUAAUGCAACAGGAACAAAGGGCAAAGGAUAUGUACUGGGAAGACCACAGAGAAAGAAAAUGCAAAUGGCUAAUAAUAUAAAAUAUUUCCUAGGUUCAAUAGUAAUCAGGGAAAGACAAAAUUACACUUUUGACCUCUUAGACUGGCAGUGACAAAGAUUAUUUGAGUGACCAAGCUUUAGUCAGGCUCCUGGAUCUUCUAGGCCCAUCUGGGCACUUCCUCGUAAAAUACAGUUUUAACAAAAGCCCUGCUAAAUUGGUUUACCGAGAACUCCCACCCUCAAUCGAGUUCCUUAGCCCUUCACCUUUCCUCAGGUGAGGGCUGAUCAUCCUGUCCUGUCUUCAGCAAGACUGCUCUAACGCUGACGUUUCCUUUUAGUAAUUUUCCAUCCACUGACACCCACUUGUAAUUUAUAGCCAAGGAGCAAGAUACACUGCUCCUUGGCUAUAAGUUAUUUUCCCUGUUACAUUCAGAGUUGAGCCCAAUCCCACUCCCCGACUACAAAAUCGAUAGCAGUGGUCCCUAUACCUAUUGCAAUGGUCCUAAAUAAAACCUGCCUUACCGUGCUUGAACA
rnacentral:lncRNA from 1 species